AACGAACGCUGGCGGCAGGCCUAACACAUGCAAGUCGAGCGAGGACUUCGGUCCUAGCGGCGGACGGGUGAGUAACGCGUGGGAACGUGCCCUUUGCUUCGGAAUAGCCCUGGGAAACUGGGAGUAAUACCGGAUGAGCCCUUUGGGGGAAAGAGUUAUCGGCCAAGGAUCGGCCCGCGUUGGAUUAGGUAGUUGGUGGGGUAAUGGCCUACCAAGCCGACGAUCCAUCGCUGGUUUGAGAGGAUGAUCAGCCACACUGGGACUGAGACACGGCCCAGACUCCUACGGGAGGCAGCAGUGGGGAAUAUUAGACCAUGGGGGAAACCCUGAUCUAGCCAUGCCGCGUGAGCGAUGAAGGCCCUAGGGUUGUAAAGCUCUCUCAGCUGGCAAGAUAAUGACGGUACCAGCAGAAGAAGCUCCGGCUAACUCCGUG
rnacentral:rRNA from 1 species